rnacentral:lncRNA from 1 species
UCUUCCCAGAAGGUGAAAUGUCGAAGAGUGGAUAGACACACCUCCAGGGCCCAAAGUCCACGGCCACAGGGGCGCCAUUCACUCUCCGGACUCAUUCGUUAAAACUCCUUUGGGAGUCUUGGCUCAGGGUUAGCAGAUGCCAGAACCUUGCCUUUUGAUGCAGUGCGAAUCCAGUCCAAAAGAAGAGGAGAUCCCGUCCCUCUUUUGGGGUCUGGAUCCCGUGUUUCUAGCCUUUGCAAAACUCUACAUCAAGGACAUCCUGGAGAUGAAGGAGUCCCAACAAGUGCCAGGCAUGUAUUUUUACAAUGGACAUCCAAUAAGACGGGUGGAUAUCAUGGGAGCUGUCAUCAGUGUGAAAGAGAGAGAGACUUUCUACAGCUAUGGAGUGGAUGACGCCACAGGGGUUAUAAACUGUGUGUGCUGGAAAAGGCCAAGCAAUGCCGAGUCUUCAUCAGAAGAAUGAGGCGUCCAUGCACGACUAUCAAGUUUCUCGAUCCAGUGCCUCUCCCCCGGUCUGUUGGUUCAUGCUGGAUGCCGCAGGGACGCUGUGUGCUCAGGAGCUCUCCUCAUUUUUCACCAUAUUUUGUGUCAGAAUCACGACUUCCCUUUGGCUGCACUGGCCAGUGGGUGCUCAUUUGUUUACUUUCUGAUACUUAGGGUUACCUGUGUAAUCUUAGCUUGCCUGUUCCUAAUGUGGCAACAUCUAAGUUGGAGGCUCUGCUUUGCUUAGAAGGCAGGAAAUAAAGCUGUGAGACAGUCA